rnacentral:sRNA from 1 species
UUUUUUUUAUCUUUUUUUU